rnacentral:lncRNA from 1 species
AUGGUAGCUAAAAUUCAAUACAAGAUGGUAAAGUGUAUGAAGAAAUCAGCUCUAAGCAAACUACUGCCACUCAAGGAGCUCUGCAUACUGAAGCAGCUUCCACAGAUAAAGACUCUAAAGACGCUCUGGCUAAACCAGAAAACCAGUUACAGGGUAUCACAUGUCUUCAUCUGUAGAUAAUUAUGGACCAUGAUCAAAUUAUAUCUUAAUUAACUGAACUGAACAGAGUCAGCUUAUUACAAAACUCUACAGAAAGGUAGGUUCCCACUUUCAGGGAUUUUUUUGCUCAGAGUUUUUCUGAUAUGUCACCAUAUUUCCUAAGGGUGGGUACAUCCCAUGCCAAACAUGCUGCCUCAGAAAUAGAUUUGAUGUCGCAUGCAUCACUAUUAUUACCAAUGUCCACGUUUUUCCCAGAAUUUCCAUCUACAUCUUGAAGAACCAAGUUAGGUCUCUCUUUGUCCUUCUGUGACAUCUCUUCAUUGAUGGCUUUUCAUCAGUGACUUGCAAAUAUUCACAGCUCCUACUUUCCAAACAUUGUUUUCUGUCCUUCUAACGACUGGUGCAUCACCCACAGAUCUUCUUUAUUUUCUUUGUUUCACUCUUCUAUUACUCCUAUACUCAGAAAAUAAUAUAUGAAAAAAAAACCCUUUCUGAAAAUUAAAAUAAACCAAUAUGUGAAUGUAUGAUAUCUGCCCUA